AUUAUAAAUACCAAUAUCUCUUAAGCUUGAAUGAUAUCGAGAAUGUAAAAGAAAUAAGAUCAGAGGUCUUCUAUAUAUAUAUAUAUAUUAUUUCUUUUAGAUUCUCGAUAUCAUUCAAGCUUAAAAGAUAUGGGUAUUUAUAAUAACCCAUACUGAUAUAAGCCAUCCAUUUUUACCAACAUAUACAUUUAUAUCUACACAUUUUAUUUACUAAAUUAGGCAUAUACUUAAAUUAGAUUUGGUUUUAAUUUAUGAGCUAAUAUUGAUUCUUACCAAUAGCUUUGUAGGUAGAUCCAAUUUUACAAUAGAUCUAUCUUUACAAGGUAUCUUUUCAUAGGUGCAGUAGAAGGUGAUUCCAUCUUGCUAUUUUAAAGUUCAACUUUAUGAUGGUUGGAUGUGGUGGCUUGGCCAUGGUGAUGUCUUUUUCUACCCCCUCCUAUAUGUCCUUGAGACUUUGAUUGCCUUUAUUGAACCUUGAGGGUUAUUAAUCCUAUUUUGAUGGUUACAAACAAUUAAAGAAUGACUAAUUUUUAUGUUUGAGUGUUUAUGUGCAAGGAAAGUAAUUGGUUCUUUUAAGACAGGGUAGAUUCAGGCCCAUGAAUAAAAAUUCACGGGCGUGAAACUUCAUUUUUCCAACCGUGAAAGAACAAUUCACAACCAUGAAGAAUUUUCACCUCAAAUAACAAAAAGGGCAAUGGCGUUUACGUAUCCUUUCCAGCCAUGAAAACGAGAAUUCACCGUAGUGAAGAAAUGUUCACACCCGUGAAAAAUGCCUUCCUCCCAAAACUUGAAAAAACUACAGAAGAGUUCACGGUCAAAGUUUACAAGCCUUGAACAAAUCUUUCCAACCGUGAAGAAAAAGUUUGUGCCUGUGAAUGAUGGAAACUCUCCAAAACUUCAAGAAACCAUAGUAAAGGUCACGACUAAAGUUCCCAAGCUGUGAAACCUGAGUUCCAAACCGUGAAAGGAGACUUUCCAACCGUGAAAAAUUCUUCCUACGCGUGAAGCUGCAUUUAUGAAGGUUAUUGAAACUGCUACUUUUACAUAUCUUUAUUUCACAUAGAAAUAUUCAAUCAUUUUUAAGUGUUCUAAGUCAAGCAAGAGCAUUUAUUUUUGGCCCCCAUUGUACAUUUAUUCUCAAGAACUUUGAAUCUUCAUCUUGUAUUAAAGAUUCAAGCUUGGAAUUGAAUAUUUGGGUAGUUGGGUAUUUAAUUCUUGUAUUCAAAGCUCGAAAAGGGAGAUUGAAUGUUUUGGGUAAGGGAUUAAAAGCUCUUGUAACUAAGACUGAAAAUCUUAGAGUGGGUUAGAGUAUGAGCCUCGGAAAACACUUGGUUUAGAGUGUGAGCAUUUAGGAAAAUAGUCGAAUUUGUUCUUAGCCUUAUAAAAUAACAUAAAUAGAGUUAGGUUUGUAAUUUUAUUUGAUAGUGGAAAUGUCAAGUGAAUUCUUGAGGAGUGGAUGUAGGCAAGAGUUGGCUGAACCACUAUAAAUUCUUGGGUUGUGAGUUGUGUUUGAUUUUUUAUUCUUUUUUAGUUUUUAAAUUCAAUCAAUUCACCCCUCCCCCGCUCUUGGUUGCCCCUAGAAUUACAUUUGAUUUCAGAGCUUUGGUCUUCUUUAUCAAAGAUUUAGUCAUCUUGAAGUAAAGGUUCAUGGCAACCACAUCAAACCAUAAUGGAUGGGGUCAAGCAUUCAAUAGGCCACCCUACUUUGAUGGAACUGAUUACCUAUAUUGGAAGAAUCGCAUGGAGAUAUUCCUUAAAAGUAAUGGAAUUGACCUUUGGGAUAUUGUAGAAGAAGGCGUGACUCUUCCAAUAAAGAAGGAAAAUGGUAUUGAAAUGUUCAAGACAAAGAAAGAAAGCUUUACUUAAGGGAUAAAAAGGCUAUGAACAUUCUC
rnacentral:lncRNA from 1 species